GAUCCCCGUAGGUGACCUGCGGAGGGAUCAUUACACAAAUAUGAAGGCGGGCUGGAACCUCUCGGGGUUACAGCCUUGCUGAAUUAUUCACCCUUGUCUUUUGCGUACUUCUUGUUUCCUUGGUGGGUUCGCCCACCACUAGGACAAACAUAAACCUUUUGUAAUUGCAAUCAGCGUCAGUAACAAAUUAAUAAUUACAACUUUCAACAACGGAUCUCUUGGUUCUGGCAUCGAUGAAGAACGCAGCGAAAUGCGAUAAGUAGUGUGAAUUGCAGAAUUCAGUGAAUCAUCGAAUCUUUGAACGCACAUUGCGCCCUUUGGUAUUCCAAAGGGCAUGCCUGUUCGAGCGUCAUUUGUACCCUCAAGCUUUGCUUGGUGUUGGGCGUCUUGUCUCUAGCUUUGCUGGAGACUCGCCUUAAAGUAAUUGGCAGCCGGCCUACUGGUUUCGGAGCGCAGCACAAGUCGCACUCUCUAUCAGCAAAGGUCUAGCAUCCAUUAAGCCUUUUUUUCAACUUUUGACCUCGGAUCAGGUAGGGAUACCCGCUGAACUUAA
rnacentral:rRNA from 1 species